rnacentral:rRNA from 1 species
UACGAAGGGGGCUAGCGUUGCUCGGAAUUACUGGGCGUAAAGGGAGCGUAGGCGGACAUUUAAGUCAGGGGUGAAAUCCCGAGGCUCAACCUCGGAACUGCCUUUGAUACUGGAUGUCUUGAGUGUGAGAGAGGUGAGUGGAACUCCGAGUGUAGAGGUGAAAUUCGUAGAUAUUCGGAAGAACACCAGUGGCGAAGGCGACAUACUGGAUCAUUACUGACGCUGAGGUGCGAAAGCGUGGGGAGCAAACAGG